rnacentral:lncRNA from 1 species
UUCUCAGUUCCCUUCCGGUAUUAUUUCCGUUCCUAAGGGAGAACUUCCGGGAGCGACAGAAGUAAAGGUUACCCAGCUAGAAACUGAGUCAGGAUCCUUCUGCGUUAUUACCGGUUUCCUGGAUUCUGGGGAAGGCGCCAUCGUGGAAGAACCGUUCCCGGACAGAUUGCCUGAAAAUGUAACUGUCAGAUUCCAGUGUCAGACGCCAUGGGCAGCUUGGAGUCCAAGUCCUCUACCCCUCUUGAAUGUGUUCUAAUUUCAGAAAAAUCUGCACUCCAGAUAAAGAAGAUAAAUAGGGGACUAAAUUUUCUAAACAGAAAGCCUGCACCCUUUGUGAACUUGUAUGGCCUCCACUUGGGGAGGGGUAGCCUCAGCAGGGAACCUUCCAUUUAACUGUUGUCUUAAAUCUUUGGAAAAGAGUCAAUGGGAGUGGCAGGCCCUGCCUUCCCAAGCAAUUCCCAUAUAUUGAUAUUUGGCUGAAUCUCAUA